CCAGGCAAAGCGGCGCACCUCUCCAGUCUCCGAUGUCCCUGUCUUCCCCUGCUUUUCCACUGCAGCUACAACGACCAAUCGAGCAGACCACCACAACGAUGGCGCCGACCAAGAUGCGGGCCAUGCAUUACGAUGCCUACGGCAAAGGCGCCGCCGACCUCAAGGAGGUGUCCAAAACCAAGGAGUGCUUUGUGGAUCUGAAACGAAGCACAAGGCUUUUUGUAGUUAAGCCGCAGCUGCAGCGUCAAAAGAACCUCCAAGUUUCAGGCUCUGUCAAUGGCACAUUUGGCUCGUUCAGCAGGUUCUGCAGGAGGCGAUGAGCAUCCUGAUCAUGAGGCGAUGAGGAUGUUGAUCAGGAGGAUCACAUUGCGAUGAGGAUCUCGAUCAGGAAGAUCACGUUCUGUUGCUGAUCUGAAUUUUGGCUAGAGACAUAAUAGUAGUCUGCAAUGUCUAUGUAGUAAGAUGAAGAUGUUGAUAUGUUUGUUCAGAGAGUGCAAAGCUCCAGGGACCAUUGCAGCUGUUUAGGUAAUUUUCAAACUGGUUUCACAUAUUUUCCUUCUUAGAUAGGACCUUCUACUCAAAAUCAUGAAUACAUGCUUCUCUUCUGUACCUGUAUAAAGCAACUGGCAGAGGGUUCGUUGUUCGCUUUUGUUUCACAUAUGUUCUGCUGACAUCAUCUAUGUGGUUCGUGGUUAUCACAUGGCUGUUUGCUCUAUUCCUCUUCAACCCAUCAGGACUUGCAGUUAACUAGCCUAGUGGGCCGGAUAUGGGAAAUCAUCUUAUCCUUCCGUUUCUUCAUGGUUCUGUAUGGUAUCAUGUACCAUCUGAAUAUCUCCAAUGGAAACAAAAGUAUAUCGGUCCAUGGGAGGAGAUGAAGAACACACUUCUAUUUAGCUUUCACCGUCCGCCUUUCGUUGGCCUGAAUAUUUUAGUGGUUUGAUAGUGGAAAUCUCGCAGGUCAAGGAUGUGAACAACAAGAGGGAGGAUGUGAGCCAUAUUUUCAGAACUUGAAGCUAAAUGCAUUUUCUUCUGGCAAAUUCUUACCGGAGGCACAGGAGCCGCAGCAGUAGCAGGAGGAGACAGCGGAGCAGGUCGAGGAGGAGCAGCGGCCCUGCACCGAUGAGCUGCCGAGG